rnacentral:rRNA from 1 species
GAUGAACGCUGGCGGCGUGCCUAAUACAUGCAAGUCGAACGCUGGAACUCUAGCUUGCUAGAUUGAAGGAGUGGCGAACGGGUGAGUAAUACAUAAGCAACCUACCCACGAAGACUGGGAUAAUCUCUGGAAACGGGGACUAAUACCGGAUAGGUAAUCGGAAGGCAUCUUCUGAUUAUUAAAGGUUAAAAACACUGGUGGAUGGGCUUAUGGCGCAUUAGUUAGUUGGUGAGGUAACGGCCCACCAAGACGAUGAUGCGUAGCCGGCCUGAGAGGGUGAACGGCCACAUUGGGACUGAGACACGGCCCAGACUCCUACGGGAGGCAGCAGUAGGGAAUGUUCGGCAAUGGGGGAAACCCUGACCGAGCAACGCCGCGUGAGUGAUGACGGCCUUCGGGUUGUAAAGCUCUGUUGUAAGGGAAGAACGGUAGAUAGAGAAUAUCUAAAUGACGGUACCUUACCAGAAAGCCACGGCUAACUACGUG